GAAAUCUACAUACUCUCAUACUCUAUCAUGUGGUUUUACCACUCAAGCACUGGAUUGCACCUCUCUCGUAUUUUCCAUUCUAGAUACAAUGUAACAUACUGAACUCUCUAGCUAGCCAUAGACGAUACUAUUAUCCUUUCACAUUUUUCCGUUUCACUAUAUUGUGAUGUUUAAUAACAUAGUGUCUAUACCACAUAGCAGCAUAAUUAAAUGAAGGGGAAAAG